GGUUAGAGAAAUACACACAUGUAUGUGCAUGCAUACACACACACACACACACAUACACACACACACACAAAUUAAGGAAAGACUUUAUUCUUAUUAAAAAGAAUAGUUUCUCAAAAAAGGAGUUAAAAAGAAAAUAAUUUAUAGAAAACUCAAAACACAUGAAAUAGCAAAUAAAAUACACAAAAAGUGUAAAAAUACUUGUAGAAAAUAUGAAACAUUGUUUUU
rnacentral:lncRNA from 1 species